GACAGAGGGUGCAAACGUUGUUCGGAAUUACUGGGCGUAAAGCGCGCGUAGGCGGCUUUGUAAGUUAGAGGUGAAAGCCCGGGGCUCAACCCCGGAACUGCCUUUAAGACUGCAUCGCUUGAAUCCGGGAGAGGUGAGUGGAAUUCCGAGUGUAGAGGUGAAAUUCGUAGAUAUUCGGAAGAACACCAGUGGCGAAGGCGGCUCACUGGACCGGCAUUGACGCUGAGGUGCGAAAGCGUGGGGAGCAAACAGG
rnacentral:rRNA from 1 species